AUGCUGGGUGAGCGUGGUCCCACCACCAUCUGUGCCCGUCCUCAGGACCACCGCCGUGACCCUGUGUCCCCCCCUGAAGAGCCAGUGGGUGACAAAGCCAUGGGGUUCUCCAGGGCCCAUGGGGCGAAGGACAGCAGCAACCGGAAGCGGAAGAAUGAGGCAGAGACGGGACAGGAGGUGCUGAAGGCACCCCAGGGAAAGGCUGUGAAGAAGGAACCAGAGGAAACUCCAUGUGUGGUGCAGCCCCCUGUGCUGAAAGGGAAGAAAAAAUCUGCAAAAAACAAAGAGAAACCACUGCAGGAGAACAUCAUCAGUAGCUCCCUAAAGCAUGAGGCUGUGGAAGGUGAAGGCUCAAGCCAGUGGGAUGGGAUCCGAGCAAAGGAGGCAGCUGCAUCUGGGUUGGAGAAGACUGAAUCCAGCCUUCACCAAGGGUCAUCAGCAGGGCUGGAGGGCUCUUCCAGGUCACAGCCCAAAUCCUGGAGAAAGGGACCUGCAGUGGGACAGCAGCUCUCAGAGACCAAGGACCGAGUUGGGGUAGGAAACCUAGGGGGUACAGGUGGUUGCCAAGACCCAAUCUUCAAUGGGAUGCGUCCCUUAGCAUCUCUUCUGUGUGCAUGGACUUCAGGAUAAUUGCCCUCCUUUCCAAA
rnacentral:lncRNA from 1 species